GUCAAAAAUGAGCAGUGAUGUAGAAAAUAUGUCAUGAUUGAAAAAAGGCUGAGUUAAUUAAACGUUUAUGACUGGGAUGCUCUGGUAUAAACAGCCUGUGGCUCCUGGCUUGCAAAUUACGUGUCUUUCUCUUUGUGGCUAAACUAGCUGUUUGUGCUUGCGGUACCAGAGUUUCUGUCACUCUGAGCUCAAAAUACUGAAUCCAGGUAAGUGACUGUGUGCUAUAUGAGGUAGGAGAAUCUCUUCACAUAACCACAGGUGUGCAGCCUUUCUUGGAGGGAUGGUCAGCAACAGCACAAGUUACAGUGCAGCAGUGCCACAUCCAUUCCAGCUUGUGACAUUCAUGUGUUAAGAGGAGGAGCUCUGUUACAUGCGUGAUUUGGAGGACAAUACAGUAGUGUCUCCUUCUAAGAUUGCACCAGAUCAAAUGAAAAGUAGUGUCUAUUGAGCUUCUAGUCUGUUUCUGACAUCUGCAUUUUUUCAUUGGAAUCCCAUGCCUUGCUUUGUCGUGAACUUACCAGCAAUGUUCAAAAGAAGCAGUUGUUUUUUCAAAAUUUCCCUGAGUCUUGGAGUGACUGUGUCCAAUUUAGGAUCAAUAUAAAGAUAUUAAGAAAGCAAACCCCCUUUUGUCCUAUCUAUUAGCAAGAUCUCUUAUGAAUCUGUCAUUGAUAAGCAUCUCUGUGCCUUUUCAGUGAAGAGUAGUCAUCUGUUAGAUGUAUAUAGAAUGACAGGGGCUAUUGCUGCUUGAAGGGAAUUCUAAGGUCAUCUUGUCUCUCUCCCUACCCGAAAGAAGGAUCAGCUGUAUGUAUGUUGUUCUUUUCAGGUGUCCACCUAACUUGUUUUUAGAGAUUUUGUCACUAGCUGCCACAGGACUUUACUACCAUUAGGGCUGUUUGGGAGGGGGAGGGAACAGGUUCCUUCUUCCCAGUAUCUCACUUGAAUCUUGCAUGUUGCAGUAUAAGCCUAUUUAUUAUUUUUUUUUAUCCCUAUCCACUGUGGUACAGAGAACAGACUAUUUCUUUUCUCUUUGCAACGCUCUUUUAUGUACUUGAAGACUGAUCACAUCCAUGCUCAUUCUUCUUUCCUCUGGUUCUUAGUUUGCACAGUCUUUCCCCCUGGGGGCUGUGUUUCCUAGAUCUGGAGUUGUUUGUGUCUUCCUGAGUUUCUCCAAAUGGUCAAUGUCUUUCCUUAAGUGUAUUUCUCUCAACUAGGCAGUUCUCUAGCUAAGGCCUCAUGAGUACUGACUGAAUAAAGCAGGAUUUUAACUUUGGGCGUGUCUCAGGCCAUCUUCCUAUUUAUGCUUCCCAAUCUGUGGCUUUUGCAGAAGCAGAAGUUUAUUGCCUUAAGUUUAAUGUGCGAGCUCAGUAUCAUGAUGCCAUUCUAUAUAGGUGUGUUACAUGGGCUUUCAUUUUACAUUCUGUACUUGCAUAUCUCUACGUCCCCUCUUAAAUAGCUUCCUAUUUUUUCAGACUACUUCCCCAAUUUGCCAGGGUCACUUAAAUUCCAAUCCUUUCCUCCAACAUACUCAUUCCCACCUGAUCUAUCCAGCCAUCAAGAUCAUUAAUGAAAAUAUUAAAUAGAAUUAGCUCAAGGACAGACCUCUGUGAACCAUGCUUAAUGGAAUGGUAUGCAUAUUAUCCCAAACUUCCAUUGAUAACUACUCUUUUAAUGUUCUCCAAACAGUGUUAUGCUUCAGCCUAUAAUGAGUUUCUCUAGGUGAUUUUUCCUAGCUUACUUAUGUGAAUGUCAUGUGGAAAGCCAUCAAAAGUUUAUUCUAAAUCAAGCUAUGUACUCCUAUAUUCUAGGUGACUUUUUCAGAGUUUUUCACUCUGCUUUCAUUUGGCUUCAGCUGCAAACUGGACCUAUGUGGAGCCUGCUGUCCACAAGCCAUGUGUUUAUUUUUGGUUUUUAUUAGAAUCCAUUUUUCAGAGAAAAGUCGAAUUUCUUUAAUGUGUGAGCGGAUGCUCAGGAAUGUGGACUACUUUGGUGCAAAGUGUGCUGUACGCAGGCAAUAUGCAAGUUUUCCUGGUUCUGUAGGUGCAUUUUAAUCUUGACCUGCAAGACUUAGUCUUCACAGCCUUGACUUUCUCAUUAAAGUAUGCUGUAGUCACAGCCCUAAAUCAGAGCUGUCACCAAACACUCAGGUGCCAAGCAUCUGAAGCCGGACUGGAUCCAGUUUCAGUGCUGCAGCCUUUCACUCUCGUGGCUCGUGCUAAAUCAAAAUCACAGCAUGUACGCUAAGAAGCAGCAAAUUUUGCACCUGAAUUGAACAACAGUUUUGUGACAUGGAUGAAUCCUAAAAAGAGUCUGAGGAGACAUUCAGGCUCAUUUUCAUGUAUGAAAUCAGUGGGGAUUUGAAUUGCAGGUGAGUAUUCUGGUCCAUUUCAGUAACACAGUACUUUCAGGUGUGAUUAAAAUGUUUUUGUUAAUAUUUAAAAAUCAAGUAAUACAUUUGCUGAUAAUUCCUUCUCCUUUCUUGGCCUUGUAAUAAGCAUAUAAUAAGUUCAACAGCUGAUGUCGUGAGGAGCUAUUGGAUUUAAGCCUAUCUGAACAUGUAGGUACUAGGAUGCCUUCUCCACCUUUGUGUGUAACGAAUGGGUCUUAGUUAUUACAAAGUGCUGCACAACUUCACCUCUGUGCAGGGUGUUAGGCAAACAAUCCCCAGCAGAAAACGUUUGCUGUUGCCUAAGCUGUGAGAAACGCUCUCUUACUCCAUUAGCCUUGCUGCACUUGCUCAUUUUUUUUCCCCUCUACUAACUCAAAAGAGGAGGGAAACAUAUCUUUGCAACCACAAAAGCAGGAAUUAGCCCAACUGUAUUUUACAGGUAAACUAACAAAUAAGAGGAGAAUCUGAGCGGCCCCCAGGGACCUGAAUUUGUUUGCUGCUGGGCUGUUCUAUCUGCAGCUGGCAUCGACGGAAACCUGAGUGCUCCAUUAAAAGUCGACAACCUCUGUUUGCUGGGGCACGGGGCAAACAGAGCCAGCCUGUUCUGCAGACAGACUGACGGCCUUUAUCUCCCCCCACCCCGCUCAUGAUGGGAAAUGAUGAGACUCUGAAACAAAAUGCUUGAAACUAGGACUUGGUACUCUUACCCUGCAGCUGUUGUACCAAGGAGGAGUAGCAACACAAGGUUGCCUUUCAGGAGCCAUGUGGGAAAUACACUGAGUGCAACACAUUAAGUGAGGAAUGGGGUUCAUCUGGGGUUUCUACUAGGAAUGAGGAAUAACACAUGGUGCUGGUGCAGGCCCCAGAUAGUGGCCAGGGGUGUGCACAUCUGAAAAUCUUCAUUUCAAAACCAUGGGGAUUGCAUGGGUAAGUUACCGCUCUCAAAGACAAUGGGGACAAUAAUCUAUUACAGUGUCAGCCCUUUCAACUAUGCCCAUGGAUUAAUGCCUUAAGCAACAGCUUACUACCCUCUCACCCACCCAAAGGAGGCUCAAACCUAUGCUGUCCUGUAGCAUUAUCUUGUAGUAAAUGUGACUGCUCAAAUGAUGCCUUGAUGCUCUGGCUGCUCCCAAAACAGAAAAUAGGUAUAUGUGUGUCUUUGUGCCCAUGGUGCCACAGUAUUACAUUGCACCUCAAACACAUGGGGUUAGGGAUGAUUCAUGUGAAAAUACAUAGAAUGAGGUGGUUUUGUCUUUUAAAAAGACAACGCUUCAGCCAAGGGACAGUGUGCUACACAAAGUACACUGGGCUUUGAUGGUAUCAUAGUCAGAAAGGAAAUGUGUGAUACUACUCCAAAUGCAAGGGAAGUGGUCUUUCCACUCUGAGUUUGCAGAUAUUUGAAUGGUAAAUUCAUCAGUUCUCCUAUGCAGAAGAAUAUACCUUUACCCUGUCCUUGCUGCUCCUCUGUCUCUUUGUUCCACCUACUGUUUUCAUCAAUAGAGCUCUUUGGUACAGCUGGCAAGUUGCUGUUUCUCAUAGGCUUGAAGGCCAUGUUUUGUUACUAAAUGCUGUUGUUUUGUUACUUGCUGUUUUCUUUUGGAGUCUGGGUAUGUUACCUAUUCAAGAGUAGCACUGGAGUUUUGGGGUUGUUGGGGGUUUGUGCAUAAUCCUGCUAUCAUUUUACUUGUUAUUUCAAUCAGUGUUAUAAAGUGUGUAAAGGGAGAGUUCCCCUAACCAGCUGCCUUUUGUUCAUCUUAAUCUCUAGUUGGUAUGAGUGACCUUUCAAUAACAAUCAAGUUAGUAGUUUGUGCUCUAAAAGCUUGAAUGUAGAAAUGAACACUGCAAAUAUCCUUUCAUUCUUAGCUUACAACCCUGUGUUGGGUACAUAGGUUAAACCAUUAUUCUAAUUACCUUUUGAAUGUAAAGGUGGUAUCCCAUGAAUGGGAAUUUCAGAAGCAGUAGCCCUAAACCUACUCUUAUAAUGGUCAAAGUGAGUUUUAUGGCUAACUUCAGUGGGAUGGUUGUGCCCAUGCCAUGCAGCUGAGGGCCCAAACCAAGUCGCUACAGUGUAUGACUGCAUGAGUGACCUUGGUGAUCUUCAGCAGUAUUAGGGCAUUUUCCCCCAAAUUACAGGGAUUUAACCUCUUAUUUGUAGCACAUACUCCAAUGCCUGUACAAUAGUCUCUAAAUCUCUCCUCAUAUACACAGUAAACUGGCAUCCCUGCAGAGGAGGAAGAAGGAAGGGAAAACAUCUGGGGAAAGUAGCACAGGAGCACAGACCACUGAAUGCAUUUGGAUGUUGUCUUUUGGUUUUAACAGUGUGUGAAACCUAAGGAUAACCUGCUGCAAAAACAGAGCAAAGGUGGCUCUGCGAAAACAUACUUCUGGCUUAGAGCUUGUGCCCAUGUUUUAUGUCAAUUUGACCAUGGUGUUGCACUGUAUCAAAGAAUAAUCUGCAGCUGUUGCAUGUUGAAUGAAGCAGUACAAGAUCUUGCUAGAAGGGAUUUGUGGGAGUGCUUUACUGGUAUGUCUCACUUAAUGCAGAAGUCUUGAAGAUUUCGGAGUCCUCCCUGGGCUCUCUGGCUAGCCUGAGGUAGCAGUGGGUGCACAAGGUCUUACCUUUUCAUAGAUGUUUCUCAAAUCGGUGUGAAGGUUUGUAGCGAAGAGGAUGGUAGGAAUGGGGGGCAGCAAAACUAUACAGGCACUUUUGGUUGAUUUGUGAUUAGCUUUUAAGCCCCCUCCCUGCACUAUGUGUGGGUUCAAGCCUCCUGCUUGGCUUUGUUCCUUCUGAGACUUCAGAGGUGUUGGAGUGGGGAAGAAGCCCAAUGAUCUGAACAUCAGCAAGGAUUAGGCAGUCCUGCAGUCCCCUUAGCAAGUCUCUUUGGCAUGCAUAUUGAAUAUUGUCUGCCAGGUAAGUGGAUCAUGUGUCUUUUUGGUCUUAGUUUCAGCUGCUUUGUGUCUGUCAUCUUCAGACUCCAGAAUAACUGCCCUGGAUGUCUCAUGGUCUCAAGAGUGCCUGUCUCUAAGCAUUUUGGUAGAUGCCUUUGGUUUACACUGUUCUCUGCCUCCUGGUCUGUGACUAAUUCUUUUUCUCCCUUCCCUGUUUUUUCUGACAUUCUUCUGGUCAAGAGGUUUUGUUUCUUGUAGCACCAAGAGCAGAGUUAGAGGCGGAAGCAAUGCAAAACUCUGAUACGUCCCCAUCUCUCUUCAAUCUGUUUAUCUUCCGCAGAGGCCUGAUAGUGAAUGACAUUCAUAUAAACAGUGGGUAAAAGACCUGAUGUGCACAGUUCAAACAUCCUGUCAUGAUCUGGGCACAUGUACUUGAUUGAAAAAUAAACACCUAACAUACAUAAA